rnacentral:rRNA from 1 species
GGCCGCAGAAUAUUAACUGUGCAAAGGUAGCAUAAUCAUUAGUUUUUUAAUUGGAAGCUUGAAUGAACGGUUGGACGAGGCACUAUCUGUUUCAUAUUAAAUAUUAGAAUUUUAUUUUUUGGUAAGAAAGCUAAGAUUUUUUUGAAAGACGAGAAGACCCUAUAGAUCUUUAUAAUUCUGUUAUUUUAUUUUCUAGGAUUUAUUUAUAUAAUAUAGUUUGAUUUAUUUUGUUGGGGUGAUAUAGAAAUUUAUUUAACUUUCUUUAUUUUUUAUACAUUAAUUUAUGAAUUUAUAGUGAUCCUUAUUUUAAGAUUAUAAAAUUAAGUUACCUUAGGGAUAACAGCGUAAUUUUUUUGGAGAGUUCUUAUCGAUGAAAAAGAUUGCGACCUCGAUGUUGGAUUAA